GUUAGCCUGAGCCAAGGAUUACUUUUAAAAAGGUAAUUCUCGUCACCAGAAACAGACUUGUUGUGCAGAGUAAACUCGCGUGUGAGACCGAGGGCAAGAGCUAGUUAUUACUAAACAUGCUCCAUUCUAAUUUCCGUUUCUGUUAGACAAACGAUCAUUAUGUCCCGAAACUCGAUCUGUCCGAAGCUCGUUAGACUACAAAACGCUCUCCGACUUAUCGGUUGGGUAACGUAAGCUUGUACGAGAGCUAACCUGUGUAACGUUUAGUGGGCCGUGAACGUAUCAAAUGAUAGUUUCAGUAAGUCGUAAUGCUCAUCAACGCGGCACGUCGGUUCAAGUAUCGAGUUUAAAAUUCAAAAGUAGAUGACAGGGCCGGGCGUCGUUUAUUAAAGUUUCAAGACACGGCACUUCUCAUCUACGCGUACUUACAGAGUCCGGCACGUCGCACUAUUGCGGUGCCGGAGCGCUCGUUGUACACACAUGCGUUACGCGGCUCAACUACCGAUGGUGCUGUAGUGCGUCCCUUGCUCUCGCGCGGUGAAAUUCGGGCUCUCGCUUCGCCGACGUUCCGAUGUCGGUCGCGGUCCGUUCGUCACGUCCCUCGAGUUCGUAUACCUAACGCAUAGAAGCUAGAUUGGCGUGUCGCGUAUUCAAAAUAGGAGCGUUAGUAAUGGAUAAGAGCUGUAUAGGGGGGUGUAUGUGUGCGUGCGUGGCAGCGACCCUCCCCCGCGCCGCCCCCGCCCGGCGACGCCAACGGAGCGAGUGGCGCGCGUUUACACAAUCCGUUGGCUUGGCGCGGCCGACGCUCGCGCCGUGGCGUGCCUUCUCGUGACGACAAUCGACGCGCGAACACGUAUCAUCAAUUGUUUUUUUUAUAUACUGGAACUUCAAGCGAAAACUCAUUCUUCAGCACUUCGAUUCUAAUAGGAAAUUAUACGAUUUUUUUAUUAUACAUCUAAACCUAUUAAGACUUCACCAUGGAUAUUUAGCGGUAGUGAAGCCGGAAAUGUGAAUAAGAGGAUGCGACGAAAUUGUCAAGUCAAUAAAUUUCGCCGUUCACUUCAAAGCUUUACAAAAUGUUUUCAACAUAAAUAAAAUAAACAUAAACCCGUUUACAAAAAUAAAUCUUAACAUUAAAAAAACUGUGAAAUUCGAAAGCUAGGAAGUGACUAUCAGUGCUACAGUGUCAAAAAAUGGCAUUAAACAAGUGCCAUGAUAAAAUAGAAAUUAUUUGAAAAAAAUAAUUGAAGACUAAGAAGUAGAAAAAUGUAAAGAAAACUCGCAUAAUAUGAGUGAUUGUGUUUUCUGGAUUCCAUAUCGAUUACUGGAUUCAAAGAUUAAUUAACAUUCGGAGUUCAUUCACCUGUAUUUCAGUAAGUUUUAUUUACGUAAUAUAAGUUUUAUUUACGUUGGUAUUUAAGUUUUUUUUUUGUAAUUUACCUUUUGAUUUUAACUCAGAUCGAGAGAUCUGGAGAUGCUAAUUGACCAUAAUUACACCUAUUAUUGUAAUUACAAUUAAUUUAACGCCGCUGUUGCAUUUUUUACCUUCUGAGAGGAAAAAUUGUAUAUUUUUAAACUUUAAAACUACUGGCAUAAUAAGUUAAUAUAAUAUUAAUUAAACAAA